rnacentral:rRNA from 1 species
UACGAAGGGGGCUAGCGUUGCUCGGAAUGACUGGGCGUAAAGGGCGCGUAGGCGGAAUGCUUUGUCGGGCGUGAAAUUCCAGGGCUCAACCUUGGGCUGCGUUCGAGACGGGUAUUCUAGAGUUUGGAAGAGGGUCGUGGAAUUCCCAGUGUAGAGGUGAAAUUCGUAGAUAUUGGGAAGAACACCGGUGGCGAAGGCGGCGACCUGGUCCUUGACUGACGCUGAGGCGCGAAAGCGUGGGAGCAAACAGG